rnacentral:rRNA from 1 species
AUGGAGAUCAGCAGCGAGGAGAGGGUGGAGCUGUCCAUCGUGGAGCACCUCCCCGACAAUGGCGACGCCGGCGUGGAGGAGGAUCAUCUAUGGCCGACCAAGGACGGCCCUCUUCCUAUAUUCCUCAAGUUUGAGAAUGUGGAGUACAAGGUGAAGCUGGGUGCCAAGAACCCCCUGACGGCUGCAAAGGUGGCCUUCGCGUCUCACAUGAGGGUGGAUCAUGGCGGCAGCAGCUGCAAGCACAUCCUCAAGGGCAUCGGCGGCAGCGUCGACCCCGGCGAGAUCCUGGCACUGAUGGGCCCCUCCGGCAGCGGCAAGACCACCCUGCUCAAGAUACUCGGAGGCAGGCUGGGCGGCGCCGUCAAGGGCCAGAUCACCUACAACGACACCCCCUACAGCCCCUGCCUCAAACGGAGGAUGGGAUUUGUGACGCAGGACGACGUGCUGUUCCCUCAGCUGACGGUGGAGGAGACGCUGGUGUUCGCGGCCUUCCUGAGGCUGCCGGCGCGCAUGUCCAAGCAGCAGAAGCGCGACCGGGUGGACGCCAUCAUCGCGGAGCUGAACCUGGAGCGGUGCCGGCACACCAAGAUCGGCGGCGCGUUCGUGCGCGGGGUGUCGGGCGGCGAGAGGAAGCGGACGAGCAUCGGGUACGAGAUCCUGGUGGACCCGUCGCUGCUGCUGCUGGACGAGCCCACGUCGGGGCUGGACUCCACGUCGGCCAGCAAGCUCAUCGUCAUCCUGCAGCGGCUGGCCAAGUCGACGCGGCGGACCAUCAUCACCACCAUCCACCAGCCGUCCAGCCGGAUGUUCCACAUGUUCGACAAGCUGCUGCUCAUCUCCGAGGGCCACGCCAUCUACCACGGCAAGGCCAGGGACUGCAUGCACCACUUCUCCUCGCUGGGGUUCACGCCGGAGAUCCCCAUGAACCCGGCCGAGUUCCUGCUGGACCUCGCCACGGGCAACCUCGAGGACAUCAGCGUCCCGGGGCUGCUCCGGGACGGCUCGCCGGCGCCGCAGGAGUUCAGGUCCCGCGUCGUGGCGUACCUGCAGGCCAAGUACAGGGACCACGCCGGGGACGGCGGGGAGGGCCAGGCGAAGCAGCCGGCGAGGCGGCCCGGGGAGCAGCUGAGGCUGGCCAUCCGGAUGCGCAAGGACCGGAGCAUCAACUGGUUCCAGCAGUUCGUGGUGCUGUCGCGGCGCACGUUCCGGGAGCGCGCCGCCGACUACCUGGACAAGAUGCGGCUGGCGCAGGCCGUGGGCGUGGCGCUCCUGCUGGGCCUGCUCUGGUGGAAGUCGCAGACGGGCAACGAGGCGCAGCUGAGGGACCAGGUGGGGCUCAUCUUCUACAUCUGCAUCUUCUGGACCUCGUCGUCGCUCUUCGGCUCCGUCUACGUGUUCCCCUUCGAGAAGCUGUACCUGGUCAAGGAGCGCAAGGCCGACAUGUACCGCCUCAGCGCCUACUACGCCAGCAGCACCCUCUGCGACGCCGUGCCGCACGUCGUCUACCCGGUCCUCUUCAUGGCCAUCCUCUACUUCAUGGCCGACCUCCGCCGCACCGUCCCCUGCUUCUGCCUCACCCUCCUCGCCACCCUCCUCAUUGUCUUCACCAGCCAGGGGACGGGGGAGCUGCUGGGGGCGGCGAUCCUGAGCGUGAAGAGGGCGGGGGUGAUGGCGUCGCUGGUGCUGAUGCUGUUCCUGCUCACCGGAGGGUACUACGUGCAGCACAUACCCAAGUUCAUACGGUGGCUGAGGUACGUCUCCUUCAUGCACUACGGCUUCAACCUGCUGCUCAAGGCGCAGUACCACGGCCACCUCACCUACAACUGCGGGAGCCGGACCGGGUGCCAGCGGCUGCAGUCGUCGCCGUCCUUCGACACCGUCGACCUCGACGGCGGCAUGCGCGAGGUCUGGAUCCUGCUCGCCAUGGCCGUCGCGUACCGCCUCCUCGCCUACUUCUGCCUCCUCAAGAGGAUCACCCUCACGCCCUUGUGA